rnacentral:rRNA from 1 species
UACGGGGGGGGCAAGCGUUGUUCGGAAUUACUGGGCGUAAAGGGCUCGUAGGCGGCCAACUAAGUCAGACGUGAAAUCCCUCGGCUUAACCGGGGAACUGCAUCUGAUACUGGAUGGCUUGAGUUCGGGAGAGGGAUGCGGAAUUCCAGGUGUAGCGGUGAAAUGCGUAGAUAUCUGGAGGAACACCGGUGGCGAAGGCGGCAUCCUGGACUGGUAUUGACGCUGAGGCGCGAAAGCUAGGGGAGCAAACGGG